rnacentral:rRNA from 1 species
UACGUAGGGUGCAAGCGUUGUCCGGAAUUAUUGGGCGUAAAGAGCUCGUAGGCGGUUCGUCGCGUCGGCUGUGAAAACCCGGAGCUCAACUCCGGGCCUGCAGUCGAUACGGGCGGACUUGAGUGUUGUAGGGGAGACUGGAAUUCCUGGUGUAGCGGUGAAAUGCGCAGAUAUCAGGAGGAACACCGAUGGCGAAGGCAGGUCUCUGGGCAUUAACUGACGCUGAGGAGCGAAAGCAUGGGGAGCGAACAGG